CACCAAGCAACCAAAAGGCCCCUGUCCUACCCAGGCCUCAGAUGAGGAAACAGGUUCAGAGAGCAUCUGAGCAUCCAUGCAGCAGCAGGGGACCCCAUAGGGCUCCCAAUCUGCACCUGUCUGACUCGUCUAUUCAGUUAGGGACCUCCCACCCUCAUCAGAGAGGGGUUCAAGCCCCCCACUAGCAGCCCCCCAGUGGUCCGGGCACUCACCUACUACCAGCAUCCCAGGCCACCAGGCCUGCCAAGUGGGAGAAGCACAGCCCAGGUGUUUGUGUGGCUGGGGCGACAAGUCUUUGUUCUGGUUUCCAUAGGUACCGCGUCCCAGGGCCGCCCCGCUCUGCUCCUCCCAGCUGCCCAGCCCUCGCCUGGCAGUCUCUUGGCCCAGCCCAUCUAGGCAACUUGUUAUGUUUUAAAGUCGGUGCCCAUGGACCUGGCAGGGCAGUUGAAGGAACAGCCCACGCAGAGGCCCCGGGGCAGGACCGCGUCUGGAGUUUGGAGGAACGUGGAGGUUGGUCUGGUUGGAGCAGAUCCAGGGCUGCUAUCCUCUGCGUGAUUGCCAUCCAGAUCCUGCAUUCUGGCUGUGGGGCACAUCCUGGGCCCUGCGGGGUGUUGAGCAGUAUAUCUGGCCCCCCACCUACUGGACGCCAGCAGCCCCCCACCCCCCUCCUGGUCCCAACAAUGUCUCCCUCUCCCUCUG
rnacentral:lncRNA from 1 species